rnacentral:rRNA from 1 species
GAUGAACGCUGGCGGCGUGCCUAAUACAUGCAAGUCGAGCGAACAGACGAGGAGCUUGCUCCUCUGACGUUUGCGGCGGACGGGUGAGUAACACGUGUAUACCCUACCUAUCAGACUGGUAUAACUUCGGGAAACCGGAGCUAAUACCGGAUAAUCUAUUGAACCGCAUGGUUCAAUAGUGAAAUUCGGUUUUUCUGUCACUUAUAGCUGGAUCUGGGCGGCAUUAGCUAGUUGGUAAGGUAACGGCUUACCAAGGCUACGAUGCGUAGCCGACCUGAGAGAGUGAUCGGCGACCCGGGAGCUGAGACACGGUCCAGAGUCCUACGGGAGGGAGCAGUAGGGAAUGGUCGGCAAUGGGCGAAAGCAUGACGGAGCAACGCGGCGUGAGUGAUGACGGUGUUCGGAUCGUAAAACUCUGUUAUUAGGGAAGAACAAAUGUGUAAGUAACUAUGCACGUCUUGACGGUACCUAAUCAGAAAGCAACGGCUAACUACGUG